rnacentral:sRNA from 1 species
UUCUCUCCACGGAUCUGUGCCCAGCGAUCCUCUGCCACCACGGUGGUCAGGGUCGAUUGCUGCGGCAGUUCGGUAACCAAGGAGCCAUCUCGCCCUUCCAUGAUGUCAAUUUCCUCCCGACAGGUCCAAGAUCGACCGAACUCCGGGGAGCUCCGUUCGCUGUAACAGGCUUGAGCGUUGUGAACCGGAUGAUUUAGGAGACGCCAUAUUCCGAGCCGUUCGCCGAGACCGUCGGUCUAUGAGGCUGGGGAAAACCAUGGCUGUGCUACAUUC